rnacentral:rRNA from 1 species
UACGUAGGUGGCAAGCGUUGUCCGGAAUUACUGGGUGUAAAGGGCGUGUAGGCGGAAAUACAAGUCAUUAGUGAAAGACUGAUGCUUAACAUUGGAAGAGCUAGUGAAACUGUAUAUCUUGAGUGCUGGAGAGGAAAGUGGAAUUUCUAGUGUAGCGGUGAAAUGCGUAGAUAUUAGAAGGAACACCAGUGGCGAAGGCGACUUUCUGGACAGUAACUGACGCUGAGGCGCGAAAGCGUGGGGAGCAAACAGG